UCUCUUUUAAUUAUAACUCGAUUUUUAGAACAUUAUUUCCUGAAGAACUCUAAAGUCUAUUUCUUUUCUCCUUCUUUGAUUGUGUUGUGCUGUUUCCGAUUGCCUUCACCAGUUCUCUGCUUUCAAUUUUGUGCAGGUAUAAAGCCAGCUUAUCUACCGAUAUUCCCCUUGAUUGAUUCAAUGUGGCCACCGGCACUAGCAACUACGUCUACAGCUAAUGAAAUUGGCGGUAGCUAUGAAAUAAACACAGUACCGUCGAUGAUUCAGCCACCAGCAGAGCAGUACAUGUCAUUUCUAUCAGGAUUUCUUGAUUCUCCUACCAUACCCGAUUCGAAGCUGAAAAGAAAAGCUCCUGAUGAUGUAAAUAGGGAUCCAGAGAGGAAGAAAGAGGUAGACAGGGCCUAUCGGCAACGGUGCAAGUUUAAGAAAAUCAAGAAUGAGGAAAACUUGUGUGCGCUUACCGAAGAAAAUAAUAGAUUAAACAGAGAGAACAAGCACUUAAAAAAUGAAGAAGUUCGGCUGAAAGAGGUUGUGCAAACUCAAAACGAAAACAUGAAACAACUUCAAGGUAACUUUUGCCAAUUGAAGUCCCAGCUUGACAAGCAAAACAUCGUUGUGGAGGUGCUUUCAAAGCAGCUAGAUUCAAGGUUUGAAGGGGGUGUAUUUUAUGGUUUUGUUAUAGCUGAUACAAAGGAUGAAUGAAGGUGUUUUGGCUUUACUCAAUAACUAUAAAUGAGAAGCAAGGAUUGUGGUUUCUUGUACGAUAAAACAAUCCUUUCAAAUGCUUAUGGCCUUGUUGCUGGAUAAGGCUUCUGCAAUGGCAAAGAGCAUAUGAUGCCUCAAAGUUAGGGCAAUGUGCAAGGAUAUAGAUCGACAACGUGAAAUUGAACGACUGAAAUGUGAAAAUGAUCUGCUGUCUAAGAGAAUCAACAAUCGGGACAGCUUGAACAUAAUACAACUCGAGGCAAAAAAUACAAAAUUGGAACAAGAAAAAAGGUCACUCCAGAUGAUAAUUGAUGCUUUGUGUACGAAGAUAAAUAAGGACAGCGAGCAUGAACUGAAAGAAGCGUGCUAAGGUUAUAUUAAUGAUGGCUGUGAAUGCUGUGAAUUGUAAGGUUCAAAAACUUUUAUUUUUAAGAAUUAUGUUUUUUACCAUGAUUUUUGUAAUAUACCUUUGCUUAUUUGCUUUAUAUUUGUGCACUCUUUAACUA